GACAGAGGUGCCAAGCGUUAGGCGGAAUCACUGGGCUUAAAGCGUGUGUAGGCGGAUCGUUAAGUGUCUUGUGAAAUCCCGCGGCUCAACCGUGGAACUGCCUCAGAUACUGACGGCCUCGAGGGAGGUAGGGGCGAGCGGAACUCUCAGUGGAGCGGUGAAAUGCGUUGAUAUUGGGAGGAACUCCGGUGGCGAAAGCGGCUCGCUGGGCCUCUUCUGACGCUGAUGCGCGAAAGCUAGGGGAGCAAACGGG
rnacentral:rRNA from 1 species